rnacentral:sRNA from 1 species
UUUAAAUGGCCAAUUUUUUAAGCCAGAUGGCAAAUGUGUAUUGUGUGUAAAUAAAAAUUUAAUUCGACGAAAAUUCAACUGGAAAUUUACACAAACAUCUUAAGAGGGUGCAUCCAAACAGCUACGCGUCAUAUUAGGCCAUGAAAUCAAAAGUGGCAAAAAAGGAAGAGAAUAAAUUAUCAGAGCCUAAGCAAGCAAAUUUCUUCUAUUUCCAAAGUUCAAGCAAGCUAAACAACAAAAUUUGCGACUAUAUUAUCGCUGAAAUACGUAUUCGAAACCUUAGUUAUGCUUAAAAAACCCAUUAAUUAAGUAAGUUAAUCAUACUAUAAAAGUUUUUGUAAGUUUAAAUAUGAACUGUUAUUUUAUUUUAAAAAAGUA